UUUGGAGAUUUUGGAUGGAAAUAGGCUGUGCAAUCUAGAAGGAGCCAUUUGAGCUUGAAUUGUUUUUGUAGUUUGGCUUGUUUUGGAUGUGGUAGAUGAUAAAAUAUUUUGAAGCCAGGCUUAUUUUUGUUUAAAAGGUGUAAUGGUUAACAUUGCGAAUUUGGAGAUAGGUUGCAAUCUGGAAGGCACCGUGAAAGUGUUUAAAAUGUUUAGGUGGCUUGUUUGGGAUGUAAUAGGUGACAAGACCUUUUGGAAGCUCAACUUUGUUUUAAACGGUGGUUAUAAACUCUAGUUAUUUUGGAAAGGCACAAUUGCUGUUCAUGUAUUUUUCAAGUAAUGACUUCAACUUUUGGUCAUGCAUAGGUGCUGAAUUAUGAUUAAAUGUCACACGUCCCUUUUUCCA